rnacentral:rRNA from 1 species
CUUUCCGUAAGGGGAACCUGCGGAAGGAUCAUUACCAAGAGAAAUCUUUCAACACUGAAAGAUCUUUUCCUUUGUGCUGGCUUUGACCGUAUGUAAUUUUGGGACUUUAAAAUGGUUCGCAAGGGCCGGUCCCAAAAACAAUAUAUCAUCCUUAUGAAAUUUUUUCUGAACAAUUAAACAAAUGAUUUUAAUAAUCUGUUUAAAACAACUUUCAACAACGGAUCUCUUGGUUCUCGCAUCGAUGAAGAACGCAGCGAAAUGCGAUACGUAAUGUGAAUUGCAGAAUUCAGUGAAUCAUCGAAUCUUUGAACGCACAUUGCACUCCUUGGUAUUCCGAGGAGUAUGCCUGUUUCAGUAUCAUGAGCACUCUCACACCUAACCUUUGGGUUUAUGGCGUGGAAUUGGAAUGCGCCGACUGUCAUGGUUGGCCCUUCUAAAAUGUAGUUCUUGGCUGUCACCUAAUACAGCAGUUUGGCCUAAUAGUUUUGGCAUUCAUUGUCAAAUCUUUGGCUAACAUUUGCUCCAGGAGUCAGUCUUGAUAAUACAGAAAACUCAUUCAAAUUUUGAUCUGAAAUCAGGUAGGGCUACCCGCUGAACUUAAGCAUAUCAAUAAGUGGAGGAA